GCCAGACCUGGCCAGACAAGAAGUCCUACAGCUCACACAAUCCCGCAAGAUGCGAUCUCUGAUCCUUUUGGCCCUUUUGGUAUGCGUGCUUGCCAUGACGUGGGCAGAGAGUUCUGACGGAUGCCCGGACGGAUGGACAACGGUGUGUUCAAGAGAUCUGGAUGAGUUCACUGUAAAUCGUGCACGAAGAUAUUGCAAACGAACCCUUGACGGAUUUGUGGCCAAAGGGAAUUGCAUUGCAUCCCCCGUGGACAUUUCUAGCAAUGGAUGUUGUAUUGCUGGAUAAUGAAAAAACAGAUAUCGGCUCAACAUAAUCGACAGAUGAUCAUAAUAUAUUUGUUCAUAAUAUGUUUCCUAUCUCCAUCACGUGAUGUAAUAAAGUUUU